AAACGACUGCUAAUACCGCAUACGCCCUACGGGGGAAAGGAGGGGACCUUCGGGCCUUCCGCGAUUGGNUGAACCUAGGUGGGAUUAGCUAGUUGGUGAGGUAAUGGCUCACCAAGGCGACGAUCCCUAGCUGUUCUGAGAGGAUGAUCAGCCACACUGGGACUGAGACACGGCCCAGACUCCUACGGGAGGCAGCAGUGGGGAAUAUUGCACAAUGGGGGAAACCCUGAUGCAGCCAUGCCGCGUGUGUGAAGAAGGCCUUCGGGUUGUAAAGCACUUUCAGUAGGGAGGAAAGGUAAUAGUUUAAUAAACUAUUNCUGUGACGUUACCUACAGAAGAAGGACCGGCUAACUCCGUGCCAGCAGCCGCGGUAAUACGGAGGGUCCGAGCGUUAAUCGGAAUUACUGGGCGUAAAGCGUGCGCAGGCGGUUUGUUAAGCCAGAUGUGAAAUCCCCGGGCUCAACCUGGGAAUUGCAUUUGGAACUGGCGAACUAGAGUCUUGUAGAGGGGGGUAGAAUUCCAGGUGUAGCGGUGAAAUGCGUAGAUAUCUGGAGGAAUACCGGUGGCGAAGGCGGCCCCCUGGAC
rnacentral:rRNA from 1 species